AACGCACAUUGCGCCCCUUGGUAUUCCGAGGGGCAUGCCUGUUCGAGCGUCAAUACAACCCUCAAGCAUUGCUUGGUAUUGGGCUCCGCUGCUCACCCAGCGGGCCUUAAAAUCAGUGGCGGUGCCGUCGAGGCCCUGAGCGUAGUAAAUAUCCUCGCUAUAGGGACUCGGUGGACGCUGGCCAUCAACCCCCAACUUUCUAAGUUUGACCUCGGAUCAGGUAGGGAUACCCGCUGAACUUAA
rnacentral:misc_RNA from 1 species